rnacentral:tRNA from 1 species
GCCUGGGUGGCUCAGUCGGUUAAGCAUCUGACUUCAGCUCAGGUCACGAUCUCACAGUUCGUGAGUUCGAGCCCCGCGUCGGGCU